rnacentral:rRNA from 1 species
AUUGAACGCUGGCGGCAUGCUUUACACAUGCAAGUCGAACGGUAACAGGCCGCAAGGUGCUGACGAGUGGCGAACGGGUGAGUAAUGCAUCGGAACGUGCCCAGUCGUGGGGGAUAACUACUCGAAAGAGUAGCUAAUACCGCAUACGAUCUAUGGAUGAAAGCGGGGGACCGUAAGGCCUCGCGCGAUUGGAGCGGCCGAUGUCAGAUUAGGUAGUUGGUGGGGUAAAGGCUCACCAAGCCAACGAUCUGUAGCUGGUCUGAGAGGACAACCAGCCACACUGGGACUGAGUCACGGCCCAGACUCCUACGGGAGGCAGCAGUGGGGAAUUUUGGACAAUGGGCGCAAGCCUGAUCCAGCAAUGCCGCGUGCAGGAAGAAGGCCUUCGGGUUGUAAACUGCUUUUGUACGGAACGAAACGGCUCUGGUUAAUACCCGGGGCUAAUGACGGUACCGUAAGAAUAAGCACCGGCUAACUACGUG